UGAAUAAUGUUACCAUCACUUUAGUACCUAUGCCUUUAUAAAGACUCAAAACACAAUAACAAAAUCAACCACAAAGAGAAGAACCCCAUAAGCCUAAUAUUAUUUACUAUUUAAGGCUCUCUUUCUCCUAAAUAUUAUAGUUGUUUUGCCAUGGCUUCAAUGCAGUGUGAAAAACCAACUAAGGAGAUUGAGAUUGAGAUUACCCAUGAAAAUACCAAGAAGAUUAAGGAGAAGAAAGAUGAUGUGAAAAAGGAGAAGAAAGAUAAGCAUGACAAGAAAGAUGAUAGCAAAAAGAAGGAGAAGAAAGUAGAUGAUACUAAAAAGGAGAAGAAAGAUGAUAGCAAAAAGAAGGAGAAGAAAGAUGAUGGCAAAAAGAAAGAGAAGAAAGAUGAUGGCAAAAAGGAAAAGAAAGAUGAUGGCAAAAAGGAAAAGAAAGAGAAGAAAGAUGAUAGCAAGAAGAAGCACAAGGAUGACAAGUAGAGACUAAGUCUAGCAACCACAGGCAAGUUCUCUUUUUGUUGAAAACAAAGUAGAUACCAGGAAGAUGUAGCAUAUGGUGAAUAAGGAUCGAAGCUCAUUAUAAAAGGGUUUUACUUAGCAUGUGAUUACUCCUAUACAUGUAAGAAAGAAUUAUCCUCUAAUAUCUAUGUCAAGAGAAUAAGACUAAUUAAUGAUAAGAAAAGUGCACUUUUCACCAA